rnacentral:tRNA from 1 species
AAGAUUAAACAAUUUAGACUUCUAAUCUAACUAAAAUGAUUUUAUCAUUUAAUCUUU